rnacentral:misc_RNA from 1 species
GGCUGAGAUCCGUCGCUUCUUUGAAGAUUGUAUCCUUUGAAGUAUUUGUUUAAGCUUUGGAGCAGUUCUGCUCAUAAGUUUUGGAGGCCCUGGAGACCGAAAGGGUUUCAGUUUGGUUUUCGUUUUUUUUUGGAUCAAAUAAAACUGGAUGAACCGAAUGGAAUUGAAACCAAAACUAAACGAAAACCAAACUGAAACCGAGGGAA